CCUGCUGUACGACCAGCAGUAGCCUAGGAAGACAUGCGUCACUGGCAACGGUGGGGUGUGAAGCUCUUCUGACAAUGUAGCCCCCGGAAGUUCGGGCGGAUGACUGUCGCGAGACAGUCGUCCGGAGACUCCAAGCAGCGCAGGGGUCGAGGAG
rnacentral:ncRNA from 1 species